rnacentral:rRNA from 1 species
AGCUUCGGCUCCCUAGUUAGUGGCGAACGGGUGAGUAACGCGUGAGCAACCUGCCUUUCAGAGGGGGACAACAGCUGGAAACGGCUGCUAAUACCGCAUAACAUGAUUUAGCCGCAUGACUGGAUCAUCAAAGAUUUAUCGCUGAAAGAUGGGCUCGCGUCUGAUUAGCUAGUUGGUGAGGUAAAGGCCCACCAAGGCGACGAUCAGUAGCCGGACUGAGAGGUUGAACGGCCACAUUGGGACUGAGAUACGGCCCAGACUCC